CGGACAGGUGCUGAGAAGGCUCCAGGAACCACAGAUGAUGGUUAAUCCAAUUCUGUGCACCUGAGGCCCAUA
rnacentral:snoRNA from 1 species